CUGUCUCUCUUUCUGUUUCUGUCUCUAUGUCUGUCACUGUCUCUUUCUCUGUCUCUGUCCCUCUUUAUCUUUAUCUAUCUGUUUCUGUCUCUCUAUCUCUCUCUGUCUGUCUUUCUGUUUCUGUCUCUGUCUCUCCUCUCCCUCUUCCUUUUUCCAUUCCUCAUUUCUUUUUUUCUUUUUCCCUCCUCCUUCUGUCUCUCUUUCUCCUCUCUUCCUCUUUUUUCUUCUCUCCCUUUCUUGCUCUCUCUCUCAUUCUUUCCUCUUUCCUUACCUUUCUUCUCUUCUCCUUUGUCCUUUCUUUUCUUCUCCCUCUCUCCUCCCUUAUCUUUCUCUUUCUCUUUCUUCUUUCUUGAACUGUCUGUCUUUGCUUUUAUCCUAUUUGGUAUUUACUUCUCUGGAUACAUAAGAUUUUCACACCAUAGAAUAUGAACUCAUUAGAGGAAGGCUUCCAGAUUAUUCUCAUUACAGAUAAUGCAUGCUGAUGGUUUUAAGUGCAUUCUUCCUUUCUUCAGAAUGCUGACAGAUAUAAAAACUGAGGCUCUGAGAUAUGAUGGUAUUUCCACAAUUACUGAGAGAAGAAAGACUCCCAAGACUCUUUGGCAAGAACUUCCAUUACUUAACUGCUAAGGAUACAAAGAAAGGAUUACAAUAUAAUGGAGACAAAAUGCAAGAGAUUAUAUACUAACAAGAUACAAACUGGAAGAACUAAAAGUAAUCUAGAAAGAAGGCAAUAGUACUAAGGAAAAUUAUGAAAGGUUUCUCAUAGAAGGUGAAAUUUUAUCUGGACUUGAAGAAAGACUGGAAAACUGAGAAGCAGAGAUGUGGAGAAAGAGAAUUCCAGUCAUGGGACGGCCAAUGAAAUCAUCCAGAAAUGGGAGAUGGCAGGUCCUGAGAGAGGAACACAAAAGAGGCUAACGUCAUUGGAUCUCAGAGUACAUGGCAGUGAACAUGUUACAAGACUGAAAAAGGGGUUCAGGCUAUGAAAAGGAAGGGCUUGGAACAACACACAUACAUAUACAUAUUAGCAUAUGUAUAUCUAUAUGAUUUAAUUUACUUAUCAAAACAAUUUUUAUAAGGAGUUAUGAGAUGAACUGAUGCAGUGAAUAAGCAGAACCAAGAGAACACUGUACACAGUAACAGCAUCAUUAUGCAAUGACCCACUAUGACUGACUUACUUCUUCUCAUCAAUCCAAUGAUCCAUUCCUGAAGGACUUAAGAUAAAAAAUGCCAUCCACCUCCAGAAAGAAAACUAGUGAAGUCUGAAAGCAGCUGAAAUAUACUUUUUAAAUUGUCUUUAUCUUUUUGCAUAUUAUUUUUGAUCUUUUACAACAUGACUAAUAUGGAAAUCUUUUGCAUGACUCCACAUGUAUAACUUAUAGCAAAUUGCUUGCCUUCUCAAUGAGAAGAGAUGGAAAGGAAGGAGGAAGAACAUUUAGAAUUCAAAAUUUAAAAGCAAAUGUUAAAAUUUAAAAAGUUAAAAUGUUAAAACUAUAAUGAGGGAAAUAAAAUACUAAAUAAAUAUUUUUUAAAAUUUUAAA